rnacentral:lncRNA from 10 species
CCGAAUAGUAACAGCUCCGGUCUGCAGUGGCUCCCAGUGAGACUGAUGCAGAAGAGGGGUGAUUUCUGCAUUUCCAACUGAGAUGAUCAAGAACUCAACAAAAUUUGCAGUUAAUUAUUUCUAUGUUACUUAGAAAACAUUGAGAAAGAGUGAAUUUUUUAAAGUUAUUUUGGAAGCUGUUCCAGUUGAGAAGCUUUCAGGACUGUUAACUACCAUUCACAUGGAGGGCCCAAUGUAAUGACAAAGGGCCUCAAAAGUGGAAGAAGGAGGUGCAGGAGAAAGAAGCAGAGAGAUGGAAGGAUGAAAAGAACUUGACCUGAUGUUGCUGGCUUUGAAGAUGGAGGAAGAGGCCUUGAGCCAAGAAUGCCAGUAGCCUGUAGAAGCUGGAGAAAGCAAAGGAAUCAGUUCUACCUAGCGCUUCUAGAAAGAAAUGCAGCCUACCAAUGUGAUUUUACUUGGUGAGAUCUGUGCCAGAUUUUUGACUGUCAGAACUGGGAGAUAAUAAACUUAUGUUUUGUUAGAGCACCGAAUUGGUAGUAAUUUGUUACAGCAGCAUUAGGAACUAAUCCAAGUUCCUUGAUCUAACACUCCCCUGGCUUUGCCCCAACUUCUCAGGAAUCCCUAUCUUUCCAGGCUUUUCCUCUUCUCUGAGGUAUUUACAGCCUCAUGCUCUGUGCUAAAUGCACUUUCUACUUACUCUGUGUUAACCUCACCCAGGGCUCUAAUCA